rnacentral:rRNA from 1 species
AUUGAACGCUGGCGGCAUGCCUUACACAUGCAAGUCGAACGGCAGCACGGGAGCAAUCCUGGUGGCGAGUGGCGAACGGGUGAGUAAAGCAUCGGAACGUGCCCAGUCGUGGGGGAUAACGUAGCGAAAGCUACGCUAAUACCGCAUACGAUCUGUGGAUGAAAGCGGGGGACCGUAAGGCCUCGCGCGAUUGGAGCGGCCGAUGUCAGAUUAGGUAGUUGGUGAGGUAAAGGCUCACCAAGCCGACGAUCUGUAGCUGGUCUGAGAGGACGACCAGCCACACUGGGACUGAGACACGGCCCAGACUCCUACGGGAGGCAGCAGUGGGGAAUUUUGGACAAUGGGCGCAAGCGUGAUCCAGCAAUGCCGCGUGCAGGAUGAAGGCCUUCGGGUUGUAAACUGCUUUUGUACGGAGCGAAACGGCUUCCACUAAUACUGGGGGCUAAUGACGGUACCGUAAGAAUAAGCACCGGCUAACUACGUGCCAGCCGCCGCAGUAAAAC